UUCGUCUCCGCAACGAGAGCCGCCAUCUUCUCGCGCCUAACGUUUUGUAUGGUUUUGUUCUCUGCAAUCCGCGCACACAGCUCAUCGGUGGCUGCACGUCUGCUCGGCGUCGCAAUGCGGCCUGCGUCAUUUUCUGGUGCUCACGCAAUCGGUGUGAAACAUGUCGCAUGUGAAAUGUUUGAUAGAAGUGCCUCACGUCCAAGUCAAGCCGCCGUACGGGUGUAUGGCUGUGCGCCCCGUUCUCGGAAGCGUCGACGGGUUUCCGGCAUGCGGAUUUCAGCGUUUGGACUCGACUUUUGGUGAGGAUGUCGAUCGACCUUGGGCCUGGUGACAGCACACCCGACAUCGCCAAAGUGCAGCCUAUCAGUUGAGUGCCCCCGAAUGGACCAUCAACAUCGGAAAAUGAAGCAGAGCCAGGGGGAAAAGGUUCCGGUAACACCAUGCAUUCAGUAUGGUGGCCCAGAUGUG